rnacentral:rRNA from 1 species
CUCUUCUUGUUAUUUUUUGAAGUAUGGCCUGCCCACUGACUUAUUUGUUGAAGGGCCGCGGUAUUUUGACCGUGCAAAGGUAGCAUAAUCAUUAGUUCUUUAAUUGUGAUCUGGUAUGAAUGGCUUGACGAGGCAUGAGCUGUCUUAGGGGUAUUAUUUAUUGAAUUUAGUUUUUGAGUUAAAAUUCUUAGAUGUUUUUAUGGGACGAGAAGACCCUAUAGAGUUUGACAUUUAGUUUAUUGGUAUAUGUUGUUUGUUUUAUUUUAUUUUGAGUUAGCUAAGUGUUUUGUUGGGGUGAUGGGAGGAAUUUUUUUAACUCCUCUUUAUUUCUGUAUAUUUAUUUAUAUAUUUUUGAUCCACUUAUUGUGAUUAUAAGAUUAAAUUACC